rnacentral:snRNA from 1 species
GGAUGUGAGGUCGAUCUGGCUGCAACAUCUGUCACCCCAUUGAUCGCCAGGGUUGAUUCGGCUGAUCUGGCUGGCUAGGCGGGUGUCCCCUUCCUCCCUCACCGCUCCAUGUGCGUCCCUCCCGAAGCUGCGCGCUGGGUCGAAGAGGACGACCUUCCCCGAUAGAGGAGAGGACUGUUCUUCGGUCAAGGGUAUACCAGUAGCUGUGCUCCCCUGCUAGAACCUCCAAACAAGCUCUCAAAAAAAGAAUAAAGUAAUGAUGUUGCUUUGGUUGAAGACUGUGCACAAAGCCAGCCAUUCCAAAGUAUGUGGGUGGGACAAGAAAGAUUU